GUGGGGAAUUUUGGACAAUGGGCGCAAGCCUGAUCCAGCAAUGCCGCGUGUGUGAAGAAGGCCUUCGGGUUGUAAAGCACUUUUGGCAGGAAAGAAAUAGUGCGUGCUAAUACCAUGCGCGAAUGACGGUACCUGCAGAAUAAGCACCGGCUAACUACGUGCCAGCAGCCGCGGUAAGACGUAGGGUGCAAGCGUUAAUCGGAAUUACUGGGCGUAAAGCGUGCGCAGGCGGUGUUGUAAGACAGGUGUGAAAUCCCCGGGCUCAACCUGGGAACUGCACUUGUGACUGCAAGGCUAGAGUGUGUCAGAGGGAGGUGGAAUUCCGCGUGUAGCAGUGAAAUGCGUAGAGAUGCGGAGGAACACCGAUGGCGAAGGCAGCCUCCUGGGAUAACACUGACGCUCAGGCACGAAAGCGUGGGGAGCAAACAGGAUUAGAAACCCGAGUAGUCC
rnacentral:rRNA from 1 species